UCCUUUUUAUUUUCUGAUUACACUGAGAAGUUUGAAUGGUCAUGACCGCUGGACACAUUGAAGUAUUGCUAAAGUUUUGUUCAUUUUUUUACCUUUCAGGUCACUUUGGGUAUAUAGAAUUACCAAUUCCAGUAUAUCAUCCUUCCCAUGUGAGCGAACUAAAGCGGUUGUUGAGCCUGGUUUGCUUUAAGUGCUUGAAGUUGAGAAGUGGGAAGAUGAUUUUGGACAUACAAAUGUGGAUAUAUAAUUUUUUGACAAUUACGGGAGGGCAUUGUUUUUAUACCUCUAUUUGUAUAUAUAGUGGUUCGAACAAAUUAAUUUGGUUAUUUAUGUAUUAUGUAUGGAUUUAAAUUAUUGACGUUGGAUUAGACUUGGAGUGUAUGAAAUUUGUAUGGAUUAUGUAUGGAUUAUUGACCCUAAUAUAUUUUAGUAUUGAUGGAUUA